GUAGACUCUGUUAGGGUCCAUAGGUGGCUGU
rnacentral:piRNA from 1 species